rnacentral:misc_RNA from 1 species
UUUCCGUAGGUGAACCUGCGGAAGGAUCAUUACUGAGUUUUGGGUUAUCUUCUCGAUACCCGAUCUCCCACCCUUUGUUUAACUACAAUUUGUUGCUUUGGCAGGACUGUCCUGUUUCUUUUUCGGAGGAGACUUGACUGCCGGAGGACGGUUUCACGACCACCUCUGGAUUGAUUUGCCUGUCAAUAGCCAAUUGAAAAUUCUUUUUUAAUUAUGUCGUCUGACUUCUUUAAAUAAAUUUUUAUUUAAAACUUUCAACAACGGAUCUCUUGGUUCUGGCAUCGAUGAAGAACGCAGC